rnacentral:tRNA from 1 species
AAGGGAGACCUGAUUCUGGUAGGAGACGAAAAAAAAGUAGUCCCAACCAAGAAUCAAUCCCAAAAGGUCGGAGCGAGGCGAAAUUGGCUUUCAAACUAGGUUCUGGGUUCACACAAGACCUGAAUCAGGAACAAGGGCUAUUAGCUCAGGUGGUUAGAGCGCACCCCUGAUAAGGGUGAGGUCCCUGGUUCGAGUCCAGGAUGGCCCACCUGCACAGGUGGCAAAAACAAGAGAAGCGAGGAAUCAGCACCUUAUCUUAUCUAUAUAUAUAUAGGAGAGAAUGCUGGCUCUGAGUAAAGAGUCCAGAGGAACCUUGAAAACUGCAUAGAGCUAGGUGAAAAAGCCAAAAAAGAAGACCGCAA